CGCUGUGGAGACCCAGCCCAAACCCAGAGAGCGGUAGCUGGGGAAAUUUUCGCCCGAAAAUGAGAGGUGCUAGUAGCCCGCGCUCUUUCCCCCGGGCCUGGGAGAACAAUGACUGUCUUGCCUCGCUUUCCGCCAGAUCAGCGCGUGGGUCUGGGAGGAGCUGCGACCCACGGCCCACGGAGCCCGGACAGCGCAACCGCUCAGGGCGCCCCAGCCAAGGACCACGUCUGGGGUGACGAGAUCUGGGACGUGAGUCACCAAAAUAGAUUCGACAGUCCUGUUUCUUUGAGAGUUCACUGUUGUAUGCAAGUAGCCACAAACCAGUAAAAGGCAAGCAAAGGAGUAUGAAAUAAUACAUGAGCCUAAAGUUACUUCAUUGGAAGAACUGAUGCUGAAGCUGAAACUCCAAUACUUUGGCCACCUCAUGUGAAGAGUUGACUCAUUGGAAAAGACCCUGAUGCUGGGAGGGAUUGGGGGCAGGAGGAGAAGGGGACGACAGAGGAUGAGAUGGCUGGAUGGCAUCACCGACUCGAUGGACGUGAGUCUGAGUAAACUCUGGGAGUUGGUGAUGGACAGGGAGGCCUGGCGAGCUGCGAUUCAUGGGGUCGCAAAGAGUCAGACACGACUGAGCGACUGAACUGAACUGAACUGAAAGUUACUUCACCUAUGGUCUGGUGGGAAAUAAGAGGGUGUUGUUUUUUUUUUCUUUUUUUUUUUUUGGUAAAAUCGUUACAAGGCUAUGAGACUGAUUUUUAUAGUCGAGAUUAGAAGUUUGUAUUAUCCUGUUUGUCAGCUAUGUGACUGCCCAACACCUCAGUUUCUUUAUUUGUAACAACAGUAACAAUGGUUCACAUAGACUUGUUCUAUUAAGUGAUAUAAUAAAUAUACCAUAGUAGUCAGAGUGCCCAGCACACAGUUGAACAGUUCUCACCUGAAGAAUAACUCCAUGAAGGGAUUUCUAGACCUCUCCUUUCUAUUAAACUCUCAAUCCAUCAAUCCAGAUCCAGCACAUCACUCAAAACUGACUCCAAAUCCAUUCUCUGAAGUCACCUUUGUUGUGUAAGUAAUUCAUUUUGUAAUUUUCUCUUUUUCCAACCAAUCAUGGAGUCCUCAAGACUGAUCUUUCAUCAUGACUCUUAAAUCUUUUUCUCCAACCCACUUCCUGUCUUCAAUCCCUGAAGCCAUGCCUUCUCCAUGUUGUAGGCAGAGUGAUCUUUCCAAAGUGUUAGCCUGAUGGAGUCACUUCCCUCUUAAAACAUUUUAAUGUCUCCCCAUUAUCCUCUGGUAGAAGACAAUCUUCUCAGUAGGACAUAGAAAGCUAUUUGUGAUCUGAAGUUGGUUUACUGCAGAAACUCAAUGCCACAUUUCUUUAAAUGUAGCAUAUUCUCAUGUUCCUAGGAUUUUGCAUGAGGCUGAAAUUUGUUCUCUUUCGCUUCUGGCUAAUUCCUAUUAUUUCCUCUGGAUUUAUUUUAGACAUUAGGUGCUCCAGGAAGCUCAAUACUCCCAGGCCCUCUAAGGGCCCCACUUCCCACAUGAGGCUUAUUUAUGUAUACCUCUUACGUAAUCUCGUAACACUUGCUUAGCCAUUGGACUGUAUUGUUACCCUCUAUUUGUUAGAAAUUUAUUUACAGGUACUGUGUCUUAUUCAUACCAGUCUUAGUUACACCCUCCAGGACCUUGUGUUCAUAUUUGUAUCCCUAGGAACAUAAUGUGCUCAGUUGCUCAGUUGUGUCUGACCAUUUGCGACCCCAUGAACUGUAGCCAGGCUCCUCUGUCCAUGGGAUUUUCCUGAAAGAAUACUGGAGUGGGUUGCCACUUCCUCCUUCAGGGAACAUAAUAGGCCUCAGUAAUCAUUUAUUGAAUGAACGAAUGAAUGAAUAAUGUUUCUGACGUCUUAUUUACUGUUCUUGUGACUCAUUAACAAUUUUUAUUGCUAUUAAGAUUUAAAAAAAAAAAACUGUCAAAUUUUGGCUCUCACACCCGCCCUCUCUGCCUUGGAAAAAUCCAAAUAGUUGCAUUGAAUC